AAAUGAUGAUGAUGAUGAUGAUGAUAACAACGACUUUUUGAUUGUCUCAAGAGACUUUCUGAUAUCUCAUUCUUUCUCUGUGUUCUUUGUUCUCAGACAUCAACUUUUAAGGGUUUGACUUCCUAGGAACUGAGCAAUAUGAAGUAACAUACUCAUGUAUCUUUCUGCUAGUAAUACAAUAUUUCAGAAGGACGAAAAUUAAAACAUCUUCAAAGGAGUGAAGAGCCUGUGAAAUGGCAGUGAUCAGAACAGGCAGCUUAUGCCUUGUUCCAUGCUGCUGAAGUCAUUUCUCUCCUUCCAGUGUGACAGGGGCGUGUUUAAGGUACAGGGGAUGUACCAGGGCAAGAGUGCCCGAGGGAGCAUGUGCCGACACAGACAACCUUAUUGGUCAAAGACGUCACAUGGUUUUGAGGGAUAAAACCAGCGCCAAAUUUGAAAUAAAAUCUCUUUGUUCACCAUCUCACGAGGAGAGUGUUUUUCCUUAUUAUAUAAGGACAUGUGCACCCUACAAUGCAUAAAAUUCAUCAUUCCUGAGCAUGAAAGAAACCAGAAUUGGCUGUCCUGUACACCACAUUCAGAUUAUUAUACUGACAUCACACUGUAAAUGGCUACAGUAAAAUAAAAUAAUUAAGAU